rnacentral:rRNA from 1 species
UACGUAGGGCGCAAGCGUUGUCCGGAAUUAUUGGGCGUAAAGAGCUCGUAGGCGGUCUGUCGCGUCUGCCGUGAAAACCCGAGGCUUAACCUCGGGCUGGCGGUGGAUACGGGCAGACUAGAGGUAGGUAGGGGAGAAUGGAAUUCCCGGAGUAGCGGUGAAAUGCGCAGAUAUCGGGAGGAACACCGGUGGCGAAGGCGGUUCUCUGGGCCUUACCUGACGCUGAGGGGCGAAAGCGUGGGGAGCGAACAGG